rnacentral:rRNA from 1 species
CUACGGGAGGCAGCAGUGGGGAAUUUUGGACAAUGGGCGCAAGCCUGAUCCAGCCAUGCCGCGUGCAGGAUGAAGGCCUUCGGGUUGUAAACUGCUUUUGUACGGAACGAAAAGACUCCUUCUAAUAAAGGGGGUCCAUGACGGUACCGUAAGAAUAAGCACCGGCUAACUACGUGCCAGCAGCCGCGGUAAUACGUAGGGUGCGAGCGUUAAUCGGAAUUACUGGGCGUAAAGCGUGCGCAGGCGGUGAUGUAAGACAGAUGUGAAAUCCCCGGGCUCAACCUGGGAACUGCAUUUGUGACUGCAUCGCUGGAGUGCGGCAGAGGGGGAUGGAAUUCCGCGUGUAGCAGUGAAAUGCGUAGAUAUGCGGAGGAACACCGAUGGCGAAGGCAAUCCCCUGGGCCUGCACUGACGCUCAUGCACGAAAGCGUGGGGAGCAAACAGGAUUAGAUACCCUUGUAGUC